CCUACGGGGGGCAGCAGUGGGGAAUAUUGGACAAUGGGGGGAACCCUGAUCCAGCCAUGCCGCGUGUGUGAAGAAGGCCCUCGGGUUGUAAAGCACUUUCAGUGAGGAAGAACGCCUGGUGGUUAAUACCCAUCAGGAAAGACAUCACUCACAGAAGAAGCACCGGCUAACUCCGUGCCAGCAGCCGCGGUAAUACGGAGGGUGCGAGCGUUAAUCGGAAUUACUGGGCGUAAAGCGCGCGUAGGUGGCUUGAUAAGCCGGUUGUGAAAGCCCCGGGCUCAACCUGGGAACGGCAUCCGGAACUGUCAAGCUAGAGUGCAGGAGAGGAAGGUAGAAUUCCCGGUGUAGCGGUGAAAUGCGUAGAGAUCGGGAGGAAUACCAGUGGCGAAGGCGGCCUUCUGGACUGACACUGACACUGAGGUGCGAAAGCGUGGGUAGCAAACAGGAUUAGUACCCCGGUAGUC
rnacentral:rRNA from 1 species